CUCUCCCUCUCUUCUCCUUUUCUUUUCUCCCGAAUUUGUGUUGUUUUUCUUAAUCCUCACCCCUCUCCUCGGGUACUGUUCAUCUAGUGAUGGCUGGCUCCGUCACGAGUGGCGCCCGAACAGGGACCUGAGAACGGAGGACAAGGUGAAGGACGCCACUGGAUUGUGAGCUCGGACAAAAUGAAGACAAUGCGCGAUGGUUACCGCAACAGCUCAUGCGUCAGGCAGAUGUCUCUUCAGCAGAUUCUCCUCCUCCUCACGGCAAUGGUCACAAUGACUAGGUGACCAUACCAUGGGCCAGAUGUAGAGUGGACCAGCCAGCCAUCUAUAACUUCACUGAUCAACAAGAAGUGCUACAGGAUUGGAGUGCCCAAUUGGACAAUUGUCAAGGUGGGGCGAACACAGAACAGCAGUUGACUGUGGGACUUUGGUGAGUGCCUUCCGGCCCUUUUCAGCCCAUGAUAUGGAAACUUAUGGUUGCUAUGGGAGGAAUAAAAAGGGUUGGUGUGGGACCAGACUCCGGGUUGGAGGGAAAUAUUACGGCUUGUGUGCCCCAGCCCUACUUACUGUUAUUGGGAGGUUUUGAGGUUAAUUAAUAAAAAUGGAACUCGUCAAUUUAAUGUAA